GAUGAACGCUAGCGAUAGGCUUAACACAUGCAAGUCGAGGGGCAGCAUGGUCUUAGCUUGCUAAGACUGAUGGCGACCGGCGCACGGGUGCGUAACGCGUACGCAACUUGCCUCACAGAGGGGGAUAACCCGUCGAAAGACGGACUAAUACCGCGUACACUCCAGCUUGGGCAUCCAAGCUAGAGGAAAUGAAAUUCGCUGUGAGAUAGGCAUGCGUCCCAUUAGCUAGUUGGUGAGGUAACGGCUCACCAAGGCGACGAUGGGUAGGGGAACUGAGAGGUUGAACCCCCACACUGGUACUGAGACACGGACCAGACUCCUACGGGAGGCAGCAGUGAGGAAUAUUGGUCAAUGGGCGAGAGCCUGAACCAGCCAAGUCGCGUGAAGGAUGACUGUCUUAUGGAUUGUAAACUUCUUUUAUACGGGAAUAACAAGAGUCACGUGUGACUCCCUGCAUGUACCGUAUGAAUAAGCAUCGGCUAACUCCGUGGCAGCUGCCGCGGUAAUACGGAGGAUGCGAGCGUUAUCCGGAUUUUUUGGGUUUAAAGGGUGCGUAGGCGGCCUGUGAAGUUUCGUUGGAAAAUAAAUGAGCUUAACUCCUAAUUUGCCAUUGAUACUGGCGGGUUUUGAUUGUAUGAUUAGGUAGGCGGAAUGCGUGGUGUAGCGUGGGAUUGAUAGUUGCUGUUACAUUUGUGGUUUGUGGGUGUGUGUUGAUUGUGGGCUGUGUGUGCUUGUGGUGGAAUG
rnacentral:rRNA from 1 species